AAAUUGAAGAGUUUGAUCAUGGCUCAGGUUGAACGCUGGCGGCAGGCCUAACACAUGCAAGUCGAACGGUAACAGGAAGCAGCUUGCUGCUU
rnacentral:rRNA from 1 species